UACGUAGGGUGCAAGCGUUGUCCGGAAUUAUUGGGCGUAAAGAGCUCGUAGGCGGUCUGUCGCGUCGGCUGUGAAAACUCGGGGCUCAACUCCGAGCCUGCAGUCGAUACGGGCAGACUAGAGUGCUGUAGGGGAGACUGGAAUUCCUGGUGUAGCGGUGAAAUGCGCAGAUAUCAGGAGGAACACCAGUGGCGAAGGCGGUCUGCUGGGUCAUCACUGACGCUGAGGUACGAAAGCGUGGGUAGCGAACGGG
rnacentral:rRNA from 1 species